rnacentral:hammerhead_ribozyme from 1 species
AUCUGACUGACGAGUCCCGAAUAGAACGAAACGCGCGUCCUGGAU